UACGAAGGGUGCAAGAGUUAAUCGGAAUUACUGGGCGUAAAGCGCGCGUAGGUGGUUCGUUAAGUUGGAUGUGAAAGCCCCGGGCUCAACCUGGGAACUGCAUCCAAAACUGGCGAGCUAGAGUAUGGCAGAGGGUGGUGGAAGUUCCUGUGUAGCGGUGACAUGCGGAGAUAGAGGAAGGAACACCAGGGGCGAAGGCGACCACAUGGGCUAAUACGGACACGGAGGUGAGAACGCGGGGGGCGCACACAGGCUGCGAUCACAGCGGAGUCC
rnacentral:rRNA from 1 species